UGUUGAACUUAUGGGGGAAUUCAGGACGGAUACAAUUUGCCAUUGAGAUGACUGUGGGAAAAAGUGUCCCAAUCAACCUGAAUUCACCCCUAUAUGUAUAUGUGGCAAAUUACAGAGCAAGAGAAAACACCUGAGCAAUCGUAAAGCUAAUUUAAAGAAGAAUAGGUAUUUUGCUGAGGUAAGCAGGAGGGAAACCCUGUGUUUUGACACCACUUGUAAACUUUCUCACCGACACGCCCCACGGAAUCCCCGAUACACUGGAGCUUUCUUCCACGCUAACAGUCUUGAGAGCCGGUCGGAGCAAAGAUUUACAUCGCCUUUUUUUCCUGUUGAGGCGUUCCGGUGCUUUAAGGGCAUCGAAGGAUGCAUCUAAGCUAUAGAUGUGUAGGAGGCAGCCAUAGAUUCACACUGUCUACAAGAAACUUUGACCCCUUCAUCUGGAUGUCACUGAAGAAAUGGACUCUUUAGACCAGGCACUGUUUUUCCAGUCUUCUACUGACAAGUUUUGAUUACUGUAUGGACUCUCUGGUCAUGGACUUACCAAAGAGCACCUGCAGUCUGGCAACACAAGACACAAAGCCAUAAAAGGGGAGAUACUGUUCACCGGCGCCAAACCUCUCCCACAACAACUGCUCAACAACAUUGUCA